rnacentral:rRNA from 1 species
GAUGAACGCUGGCGGCGUGCCUAAUACAUGCAAGUCGAGCGAACAGACGAGGAGCUUGCUCCUCUGACGUUAGCGGCGGACGGGUGAGUAACACGUGGAUAACCUACCUAUAAGACUGGGAUAACUUCGGGAAACCGGAGCUAAUACCGGAUAAUAUAUUGAACCGCAUGGUUCAAUAGUGAAAGACGGUUUUGCUGUCACUUAUAGAUGGAUCCGCGCCGCAUUAGCUAGUUGGUAAGGUAACGGCUUACCAAGGCGACGAUGCGUAGCCGACCUGAGAGGGUGAUCGGCCACACGGGAACGGAGACACGGUCCAGGCUCCUGCGGGAGGCAGCAGUCGGGAAUCGUCCGCAAUGGGCGAAAGCCUGACGGAGCAACGCCACGUGAGUGAUGAAGGUCUUCGGAUCGUAAUACUCUGUUACUAGGGAAGAACAAAUGUGUAAGUAACUAUGCCCGUCUUGACGGUACCUAAUCAGAAAGCCACGGCUAACUACGUG